GGCUGUAGCUCAGUGGUAGAGCACUUGCCUAGCAUGUGUGAGGCACUGGGUUCAAUUCUCAGUACCA
rnacentral:tRNA from 1 species